rnacentral:ncRNA from 2 species
GUGAUUGGUAGAGGAGCGAAAACCAAUAGUAAGCUUUCUGAGAGGAAUGAGCCUCGGUGAUGAAAGAAGAAAGGGGAAUUCGCCGAAGUGCAAGGAAGACUCAUCUGACUUGUGCUGGACCUAUGUUGAAGAAGCAUAGGGCUGUCACAUACCUACACCCAAGAGGUAUGUGGAGAACUAUCUCACGA